CUCAGAGGAUGGUCACCCCUGGUGACAUUAUAAAACAGUGUCUGAACUCACCCAGCUGGGGAACAGGCAGAGAAACCCCAUGGCUUCACCAUCCUCAGUGCAAUGCUAUUCAUUAUCACCUGAAAAACUCUAGGAAUCUACAGGAUGGUCCAUGGAUGCCACACUCAGACCUCCUCAGUGGUGACCUUGGUAUAUUGAACCACAAGGCUGAUAGAAGACUGCACCUCCCGAAAGCAGGCAGCAAGACAAGCCACAGCAAUCAAACCAGAUGUUUCCAGUUCUCAGCCAACGUCGCCUGGGGACCCUCCCAUUGAGAAUGUUACCUCCCCAGUAAGACGCACUAUGCGUGGGCUUUCCCAGCAUCUCGUCAGCCCUCCCCGCCCCAACCAAACCUAACUCAGACAUCAGGGUGAUCAACCAAGCAAUUCAAAGCAAAGAGCUUAUCCACUCUAUGAACUGAAACUUCUCUGCUUUGCCUACCUUGAGUUGGCUUCAGUUUGAGCCCUAAAAUACACGUAUACGUGUCAUUUCUAAUCAGGAAAAUUUCACCUGAUCAGAAAAAUGUAUAAGGGAUAAAGAGAAAGCCAUACUUUUUUACCAUUGCCCCUUUAUGUCAGCUUCCAAAUACAAAGGUUGUAUUAAAAUUAAAUUUUCCUCAUAAAUGAAGAUAAGCUCUUCCGCAUUCAGUAAGAUACUAAUUCCCAAUUCCCAAGUCGAUAGAAAUUGGCAGCCAUUUUUAAAGCAUGUAUAUGAAGAGAUUAAACUGUGAUAUAGAUAAUACAAAAUAAUGGAAAAGAGAUAUUUAUUUGAAAUGAAAUUCUAUUGUAUGUGUUAUUAUUUAGAGAAGGAAGAGGAACUGAUCUUUUAUGAACACUUAUCAACCUAAAGCCAAGGAAGACAGCCCAGCAGCGUGCUGACUUAUGGGUAAAGCCAGCCAAAAGUCAUCCUCCAAUAUAUAUCCAUUUAUCCUUCUUUAGUGGUGGCUUUCAAAAUUGUCCCCUCCCCAUUCCUUUUCCAUCCCCAUGGUGCAUGCCCAUCACCUCACACCUGAACCCCAGUGUCAGGCUCCUGCAUGGUCU
rnacentral:lncRNA from 1 species